ensembl:lncRNA
UUAUUAGAAGCACACAAAGUCAGAGAAGGCACCUGAUCCCAGGAUGUUAAAAGAAUGUCUCCUGUAAGGUAGCCCCUGGUGACCCUUCAUGAAGCAAAGCACAACUGGUGACAACAAGAUAACCUGAGGCUUAAAGUCAGCCUGAUUCAUUAGAAAACAGUUUCACACAGCAAAUUCAUUGAGCCAGAGCUAGCCUGUUUGAGAGGUCUCCUACCCCAAAUCCCACCUCUCUUGCUUAAAUUUCAUCAUUUGAAAUCUGGUUCUUUGAAAAUCACAUACCUCUUAGAGGAGAAAUGCAUUUAGUCAUUACCCAUAAGUAGGGAUCUUUAACUAAGUAGGGAUCUUUAACUCCCGUAUUCUUUCUAGUGGCUCACACACACCUUAGCACAAUGCCUGGCACAUAGUAGGAACUCAGGAGAAGCAAGUUCAGAUAAAGAAAGGAAAAGGAGAGCCUCCACCCCAGGAAUUCUGCAGUGAGUGCCAGGCCAUGGAGGAAGAGGUUGUGUGCCAGAACUUGUGGGCUGAGAAGAGAGGCAAAGGAAAGGCUAUGAAUUGACUCUUCUUCAGAGGAAAAAGGCCAAUGAUAUCCUGACAACCGGAAAGAAUGCCAUUCUCUUGGCUGAUAGUCUGCAUGUGGAGGAACAACAUUUCACACACAGAUGGAAGGGAAAGUUCAUCCUCCUCAGUAUAACUGCUCCUAUGGCAAAAAAAGGUCAUUUAAUCACAUGGGAGCGGCUAGACAAGAUGAUAAUAUAAAGCAGGAUUCUGUGUGCUUCUAAAUCAUCGGGGCUUUAUCAGCUGCCCCUACACCACUCAAGGAUGGGAAACCCUGAGACAGUUAAACAGAAACAUCAAAGAAUAAAGGAUGGAUGUGCCUGUUGUCCUUUUGUAUAUUUUCACAGAUAUGGCUUAGUUCUUGCCUCUAAAAUGAGAAGAACAGCAGGUUACCUUUCUAUGAGCAGUUGUGUUCACAACUGAAUCUGAAAUCCAGGGAGAAAUUCACUUUCUCACUUUAGUUUUGGUGCAAACAGAAC